AGGGCCACACCCAUGUCAUAUGUAGGUUCCCAUGCUAGGGGUCCAACCAGAGUUACAGCUGUCACCCUAUUCCACACCCACAGCAAUGAAUGAUCAAAGCCACAUUUGCGACCUCCACCACAGUUCAUGGCAACGCUGGAUCCUUAACCCACUGAGUGAGGCCAGGGAUCGAGCACACACCCUCAUGGUUCCUAUUCGGAUUUAUUUUUGCUGUGCCACGUUGGGAACUCCAGUAUUCCUUCUCUAAUAUUUCAUUGCUAGUAUACAAAAAAUGCAACCUGUUUCUGAAUGUUAAUCUUGCCAAAACUGAAUCAAGAAGAAAUAGAUCUACUGAACAUACCAUCACUACAAAUGAAAUUGAAUAUAUAAUAAAAACACUCCCUACAAACUAAAGUCCAGGACCAGAUGGCUUCACAGGUGAAUUCUACCAAACAUACAAAGAGGAACUUAUACUCAUCCUCCUUCAACUUUUCCAAAAAUUUGAAGAAGAAGAAGGAACACUCCUAAAGACAUUCUAUGAUCCCAUCUACCUAAUACCAAAACCAAAAAUACUAACAAAAAAGAAAGUUAUCGAUCAAUAUAUAUGAUGAAUAUAGAUCCAAAAAUUCUCAACAAAAUUUUAGCCAACUGAAUCCAAUAACAUACAAAAAAAAUCACACACCAUGACAUAGUGGGAUUCAUCCAAGGUUCACAAGGAUGUUUCAACAUUACCAAAUUAGUUAAUGUUAUACACCACGUCAACAAAAUAAAGUGAAAAACCACAUGAUCAUUUCAAUAGAUGCAGAAAAAGCAUUUGGCAAACUCCAACAUCCAUUCAUGAUAACAACUCUUACUAAAGUGGGUAUAGAAGGAACAUUCCUUAACAUAAUAAAAGCCAUUUAUGACAAACCCACAGUAAAUAUAAUGCUCAAUAGAGAAAAGCUUAAACCAUUCCUGGUAUAAUACAAGAUAAGAAUGCCCACUCUCACCACUUUUAUUUUAUGUAGUACUGGAAGUCCUAGCCACAGCACCAGACAAACAAAAGAAAUAAAUGGUAUCCAAAUUGGAAGAGAAGAUGUAGAAUUGUCACUGUCUGCAGAUGGCAUGAUACUAUAUAUAGAAAACCCUAAGGACUCCACACAAAAGUACUGGAACAGACCAACGAGGUCAGCAAAGUAGCAGGAUACAGAAUUAACAUUUAGAAAUCAGUUGCAUCUCUGUUCAUUACCUUUAUUCCUGAAAUUAUUAUUUUCAUUUUGUGAUGCUUUAUUUUAUUAUUUUUUUCUUAUACUUCAUAGUUAUGCAUUGAUGAGUUUGAAUUUUAAAUUACAGACACCUCCUUAACGCUUUGGUUAUGACCUCCAAAACAUGAGGUGUUAUAUUCUUUUUUUUUUAAUUUU
ensembl:lncRNA